rnacentral:ncRNA from 1 species
CUUAAAACGAUGAUCAGGAAGAGUAUGCUGUUAUGGGUUGAGUCAGCGAGCCGGGGAGGGUGUGAGCCCGGCAGAGGGGACAGCAGAAAAUCACCUGGGAGUGCCUGCCGAAAAAAUGAUGAUGAGUAAGCAAGGCCGUUUGAGGAGCGUUACUCCUUUAAAAAGAGCCUUCUUGUAGAAGGAAGCAGGGUGGUACCGCGGGAACCUCUCGCCCCUUAC